rnacentral:rRNA from 1 species
GAAACCCAAAAGAUCGAAUGGGGAGAUUCAUCGUCAGCUCAUUUUGUAUAUAUAUGAGUUAUGAUGCGAGUUACUCNUUGUAGUAUUGCUUGUACAUACUUGUAUGUUUAUUUGCAAGAUGUUGUCGGCGUGCACUUCUCCCCUAGUAGAACGUCGCGACCCGUUGGGUGUUGGUCUACGACCCNAGUNGGNAGACUUNUAAUAUUUUNAUAAUAUUAAAGACCCUUGGUGUUUUCUGACCGGCUGCUCGGCGGUACUCGUACGGUAUUUAGCCGCAUUUANUNUUGCGUCCAUGUCCGUCGCAA